rnacentral:rRNA from 1 species
UACGUAGGGUGCGAGCGUUGUCCGGAAUUAUUGGGCGUAAAGAGCUCGUAGGCGGUGUGUCGCGUCGGCCGUGAAAACCUGCAGCUUAACUGUGGGCUUGCGGUCGAUACGGGCAUCACUGGAGUUCGGCAGGGGGGACUGGAAUUCCUGGUGUAGCGGUGAAAUGCGCAGAUAUCAGGAGGAACACCGGUGGCGAAGGCGGGUCUCUGGGCCGAUACUGACGCUGAGGAGCGAAAGCGUGGGGAGCGAACAGG